UGACAACCGGGUUUCAAGGGAGCCAACUGGGACCAGGGGAGGGGAGGCAAGGGAAGUGAGCAUCAGGCAAAGGCUAUGUUUUGCAAUUGGACCGUGGAAGGUAAACAAGGGCUUCAUUUUGACAUCUGUUUAGCCAGCCUUACAUCUCUGAUGGAAAUGCGUGAAAAGAAAAACAAAAAAGGAGCAUUGACAGAUUGAGGUACCGUGUGUUGAUCGAAAUGCUCUCAGGCACCUCCACCAGCUCUCGGCGUGUACAGAUGACCCGG